rnacentral:rRNA from 1 species
GGGUUGUGAGGUUAAGCGACUAAGCGUACACGGUGGAUGCCCUGGCAGUCAGAGGCGAUGAAGGACGUGCUAAUCUGCGAUAAGCGUCGGUAAGGUGAUAUGAACCGUUAUAACCGGCGAUUUCCGAAUGGGGAAACCCAGUGUGUUUCGACACACUAUCAUUAACUGAAUCCAUAGGUUAAUGAGGCGAACCGGGGGAACUGAAACAUCUAAGUACCCCGAGGAAAAGAAAUCAACCGAGAUUCCCCCAGUAGCGGCGAGCGAACGGGGAGCAGCCCAGAGCCUGAAUCAGUGUGUGUGUUAGUGGAAGCGUCUGGAAAGGCGCGCGAUACAGGGUGACAGCCCCGUACACAAAAAUGCACAUACUGUGAGCUCGAUGAGUAGGGCGGGACACGUGGUAUCCUGUCUGAAUAUGGGGGGACCAUCCUCCAAGGCUAAAUACUCCUGACUGACCGAUAGUGAACCAGUACCGUGAGGGAAAGGCGAAAAGAACCCCGGCGAGGGGAGUGAAAAAGAACCUGAAACCGUGUACGUACAAGCAGUGGGAGCACGCUUCGGCGUGUGACUGCGUACCUUUUGUAUAAUGGGUCAGCGACUUAUAUUCUGUAGCAAGGUUAACCGAAUAGGGGAGCCGAAGGGAAACCGAGUCUUAACUGGGCGUUAAGUUGCAGGGUAUAGACCCGAAACCCGGUGAUCUAGCCAUGGGCAGGUUGAAGGUUGGGUAACACUAACUGGAGGACCGAACCGACUAAUGUUGAAAAAUUAGCGGAUGACUUGUGGCUGGGGGUGAAAGGCCAAUCAAACCGGGAGAUAGCUGGUUCUCCCCGAAAGCUAUUUAGGUAGCGCCUCGUGAAUUCAUCUCCGGGGGUAG